AUGCUUUCACAACUUGACUUCAAAAUAUUUGGUUUGGAGACCAUCAAAGAUCAAUAUGUGCAUGAUGCUGAUUUUAAAGAUGUAUUGCAGAAUUGUAAAGAAGGAAGAACAUGGAACAAGUUUGUCGUUAAUGAUGGAUUUGUGUUCCGUGCUAACAAGCUAUGCAUUCCAGCUAGCUCCGUUCGUCUUUUGUUGUUGCAGGAGGCGCAUGGAGGAGGACUAAUGGGACACUUUUGCGUGAAGAAGACGGAGGACGUACUUGCUACACAUUUCUUUUUGCCAAAGAUGAGACGGGAUGUUGAGCGUUUUAUUGCUCGCUGCACUACAUGUCAAAAAGCUAAGUCACGACUCAAUCCUCAUGGUUUAUAUAUGCCUUUGCCUGUACCUAGUGUUCCUUGGGAGGAUAUAUCUAUGGACUUUGUUUUAGGUUUACCUAGAACAAAGAAGGGGAGGGAUAGCAUAUUUGUUGUCCUGGAUAGAUUCUCGAAAAUGGCACACUUUAUACCAUGUCAUAAAAGCGAUGAUGUUGUUAAUGUUGCUGAUUUGUUCUUUCGUGAAAUUAUUCGCUUGUAUGGUGUGCCAAAUACUAUUGUUUCAGAUCGUGAUACUAAAUUUCUUAGCCACUUUUGGAGAUGUUUAUUGGCUAAGUUGGGGACUAAACUGCUUUUUAGUACUACUUGUUACCCCCAAACUGAUGGACAAACUGAAGUAGUCAAUAGAACAUUGUCAACUAUGCUUAGGGCUGUUUUGAAGAAUAAUAACAAAAUGUGGGAGGAAUGUUUGCCUCAUAUUGAAUUUGCUUAUAAUCGUUCAUUGCAUUCUACUACUAAGAUAUGCCCUUUUGAAGUUGUGUAUGGUUUCCUACCUCGUGCACCUAUUGAUUUGUUGCCUCUUCCAUCUUCGGAGAAGGUUAAUUUUGAUGCUAAACAACGUGCUGAAUUGAUUUUAAAAAUGCAUGAGUUAACUAAGGAAAACAUUGAGCGUAUGAAUGCUAAAUAUAAACUUGCUGGAGAUAAGGGUAGAAAACAUGUUGUGUUUGCACCUGGAUAUCUUGUUUGGUUACAUUUGCGUCAGGAUAGAUUUCCUGAUUUGCGCAAAUCAAAGCUAAUGCCACGUGCUGAUGGUCCCUUUAAGGUGUUGGAGAAAAUAAAUGAUAAUGCAUAUAAACUUGAGCUGCCUAUAGAUUUUGGGGUUAGUCCCACUUUUAACAUUGCAGAUUUGAAGCCUUAUUUGGGUGAGGAAAAUGAACUUCCGUCGAGGACGACUUCAUUUCAAGAAGGGGAGGAUGAUGAGGACAUCAAUACCAUUGUUACACCCACAGCCCCUGCUGCUAUAUAUACUGGACCAAUUACUAGAGCUCGCGCAUGCCAACUAAAUUACCAGGUACUUUCGUUUCUUGGUAAUGAUUCUAAUGUUCAUGAGAAUAUGAUGCUGCCUAAAUUGGAUACAUUUGUUUUGCUUACAAAUCAAGGGCCUAGCUUGGAGAAGGAUGCACAUUGGAGCAAGAACAAGCAUGGAGAUGAUGGCAUGCGCAAGGGGAACAAGAACAGAGUUACAAGUGAUGAUUUCAGGACUUUGAAGCCACCAUAA
rnacentral:rRNA from 1 species